rnacentral:siRNA from 1 species
AUACACAAGUGAGAUAUUCUUUGG